AUUGAACGCUGGCGGCAUGCCUUACACAUGCAAGUCGAACGGUAACAGGUCUUCGGAUGCUGACGAGUGGCGAACGGGUGAGUAAUACAUCGGAACGUACCCAGUAAUGGGGGAUAACUAUCCGAAAGGAUAGCUAAUACCGCAUACGCCCUACGGGGGAAAGAGGGGGAUCGCAAGACCUCUUGUUAUUGGAGCGGCCGAUGGCUGAUUAGCUAGUUGGUAGGGUAAAGGCCUACCAAGGCAACGAUCAGUAGCGGGUCUUAGAGGACGAUCCGCCACACUGGAACUGAGACACGGUCCAGACUCCUACGGGAGGCAGCAGUGGGGAAUCUUGGACAAUGGGCGCAAGCCUGAUCCAGCAAUGCCGCGUGCGUGAAGAAGGCCUUCGGGUUGUAAAGCGCUUUUGUCAGGGAGCAAAUCCUUGUGGCUAAUACCCACCGGGGAUGAGAGUACCUGAAGAAUAAGGACCGGCUAACUACGUGCCAGCAGCCGCCGUAACAC
rnacentral:rRNA from 1 species